UACGGAGGGUGCAAGCGUUAUCCGGAUUCACUGGGUUUAAAGGGUGCGUAGGUGGGCUUGUAGGUCAGUGGUGAAAUCUCCGUGCUUAACAUGGAAACUGCCAUUGAUACUAUGGGUCUUGAAUUAUCUGGAGGUCAGCGGAAUAUGUCAUGUAGCGGUGAAAUGCUUAGAUAUGACAUAGAACACCAAUUGCGAAGGCAGCUGGCUACAGGUAUAUUGACACUGAGGCACGAAAGCGUGGGGAUCAAACAGG
rnacentral:rRNA from 1 species